rnacentral:rRNA from 1 species
UACGUAGGGCGCAAGCGUUGUCCGGAAUUAUUGGGCGUAAAGAGCUCGUAGGCGGCUUGUCGCGUCGAUUGUGAAAGCCCGGGGCUUAACUCCGGGUCUGCAGUCGAUACGGGCAGGCUAGAGUGUGGUAGGGGAGAUCGGAAUUCCUGGUGUAGCGGUGGAAUGCGCAGAUAUCAGGAGGAACACCGGUGGCGAAGGCGGUUCUCUGGGCAUUACCUGACGCUGAGGAGCGAAAGUGUGGGGAGCGAACAGG